rnacentral:rRNA from 1 species
UCGCCAGACUCCUCGGGAGGCAGCAGUCGGGAAUAUUGCGCAAUGGAGGAAACUCUGACGCAGUGACGCCGCGUAUAGGAAGAAGGUCUUCGGAUUGUAAACUAUUGUCGUUAGGGAAGAGAAAGGACAGUACCUAAGGAGGAAGCUCCGGCUAACUACGUGCCAGCAGCCGCGGUAAUACGUAGGGAGCGAGCGUUAUCCGGAUUUAUUGGGUGUAAAGGGUGCGUAGACGGGAAAAUAAGUUAGUUGUGAAAUCCCUCGGCUCAACUGAGGAACUGCAACUAAAACUAUUUUUCUUGAGUGCAGGAGAGGAAAGUGGAAUUCCUAGUGUAGCGGUGAAAUGCGUAGAUAUUAGGAGGAACACCAGUGGCGAAGGCGACUUUCUGGACUGUAACUGACGUUGAGGCACGAAAGUGUGGGGAGCAAACAGGAUUAGAUACCCGCGUA